UACGUAGGGUGCGAGCGUUGUCCGGAAUUAUUGGGCGUAAAGGGCUCGUAGGCGGUUUGUCGCGUCGGGAGUGAAAACUCAGGGCUUAACCCUGAGCCUGCUUCCGAUACGGGCAGACUAGAGGUAUGCAGGGGAGAACGGAAUUCCUGGUGUAGCGGUGGAAUGCGCAGAUAUCAGGAGGAACACCGGUGGCGAAGGCGGGUCUCUGGGCAGUAACUGACGCUGAUGCGCGAAAGCCAGGGGAGCGAACGGG
rnacentral:rRNA from 1 species